UUACACAUGCAAGUCGAACGAGAAAGCCGGGGCAACCUGGUGAGUAAAGUGGCGUACCGGUGAGUAACACGUGGGUGAUCUACCCUCUGGCGGGGAAUAACCCUGGGAAACCGGGGCUAAUACCGCAUAAGUCCGCGAGGAGAAAGUCGCAAGACGCCGGAAGAGGAGCCCGCGGCCGAUUAGCUAGUUGGUGAGGUAAUGGCCCACCAAGGCGAUGAUCGGUAGCCGGCCUGAAAAGGCGCACCGGCACACUGGCACUUGAAACCGGGGCAGACUCCUACAGGAGGCAGCAGUGGG
rnacentral:misc_RNA from 1 species